UCGAGAAUCUUCCGCAAUGGGCGAAAGCCUGACGGAGCGACACCGCGUGCAGGAUGAAGGCCCUAGGGUUGUAAACUGCUGUCACGCUAUAGGAAAUCCCCGAAGUGAAUAGCUAUCGGGGUUGACCAAAGCGAAAGGAAGCACCGGCUAACUCCGUGCCAGCAGCCGCGGUAAGACGGAGGGUGCAAACGUUGUUCGGAAUCACUGGGCAUAAAGAGCAUGUAGGCGGUUUGCUAAGUCAGAUGUGAAAGCCCCCGGCUCAACCGGGGAACUGCAUCUGAUACUGGUGAACUUGAGGAUGGUAGGGGUGAGUGGAACUCCAGGUGGAGCGGUGAAAUGCGUAGAUAUCUGGAGGAACACCUGUGGCGAAAGCGGCUCACUGGACCAUUUCUGACGCUGAGAUGCGAAAGCUAGGGUAGCGAACGGGAUUAGAUACCCCCGUAGUCC
rnacentral:rRNA from 1 species